rnacentral:misc_RNA from 1 species
ACUAUUAAAUUUUUUUAUCAAUUAUAUUUUAAAAAAUAAUAGUAUUUUAAAUAGAAUGAGCUUUUAAUUAACAUUUAAUGAGCUUUAAAAUUUAGUGCUCAAUGGUAUGUAUAACACAUUAUAAUUACUUAAUAGGCCUUAUUAGACUUAAUAGCAUGUGAAACUAGCAACCCAUAUUCACUAUUACCUAAGCCAACGAAGAUUAAAAUAGUAAUGCAGAGAGAAAAUGAGAGAUAUGAGGCUUUUUCUAGAAAGUUUCUCUUUCUUUAUUUUCUUAAGGCUUCGCGGCCAUUAUUACUUAUUGUUUUUGGUUCUUAUUUCUUCUCUUCCUCUUUUUUUUCUUCUUUAUAUACUAACAUCCCAGGUACUUUUAUUUUAUUAAAAAGAAAGAGAAAAAAAAUAAGAAAUAAUAAAUAGAAUUUUCUUCUUCUUCACUUUAAUUUUGUGUUGAGCACAGUGAAAUGGGAUCGCUUGAUUUAGAGAACCAAAACGCGUCUUGGGACGCAAAUGUUUACUGUUUCGAAAUGCGAGAUCUAGGUUGCGGAACCCAAGGGAUUAAGAGAAUCUGGCAACUAUGAGUUAGACAUCAUAAACCCAACAACUCUUGCAAUCCAACAAAACCUAGUUGUUGAAUAGCUAAAUAAAAUCCAAUGAAGUAACCCACCUCUGCCCAAGAGUAAUGGCCAUUGAGGCUUUGGUGGAGAUAAUAGAAGAUCUUAAUCCGUUGAUGGAGGAGUAAAGGAGAUGGGUAGUUGGAGACAAACCAACUAUGGAAACAUCAAAUCUGCCCAAAAGCAUCAAAUAUGUGGAUGUGUUGAAUCUCGAGCUUGAAGAUGUGAAAUGGAAGACACAUAUAGAGAUGUGUUUGAGGAUGGAGGCUGAAGAUGUGAGAGACUUGCAGAGCAGAGGGAAUCGCUUUCAAUGACUUAAGGAGAGAAAAUAAGCAAUUUAAAGAUAGAAGCCAUUUGAAAAGAGAAGCAGAGGAAGAAAGAGAUAGGCUUGAGUAGAUUUGAUAAUUGAGAAGGCAGGUGCAGCAAGUAAGGUUAUUGAAGAAAAGAUAAUUGAGAAUGAAAAGGUAAAAGAGUAAUUUUAUUAUUUUUUAUCUGUAAACUUGCUAUUGCAGGUUUUUAGGACUUUUAAGAAAAUAAAUUGAAAUUAGGAGAUUUUAUUGUAACAAAUUGAAGUUUAAGGACGGAAAUGAAAUGACCCUUUAAG